GUGGGCUCAGACAGUCUCUCAAGGCGAGUGUCUCUCCCCUCGAGGCUUAGGCGCUAAGAGCCCCUUCGUCUGGGAAUAGUUUAAAGCCAGAUCGCUUUCCUUCCUUCCCAGGGGCUCUUGGUUCAGACCUGAGGCUCUCAGGAUCCACAGACACUGCAGAGAGCCUCAAGAAACACGGGAGAGGGUCAAAUCGACUCAGAAGGCCUGAGACAGAGGUCUUUAUCAAUGCCCAAAGGCUUGCCAACAAGAAACUGAAGCCCUCAGUCCUACGACCUGGAAGAAACCGAAUUCUGCCAGCAGCCAUGAGACCUUAGAAAGAGAUCCUUCCCCAGUUGAGCCCUGAGAUGAGACCUAACCCUGUCUGGCAUCUUGAUUGCAAUCAGGAAUAUUCUGCCAGCCAAGAUUCUGUCCCCUUGUCUCUUCGAGUCUGGGCUUAGAAUUUGGGCUUGAACCCUGAGCAUCUCUCACUUCACAGUGCCUUCUGCUGAAGCCCAGGAAUCCUAUCAUGUCUGAAAGACAAUUCCAAAAUCUAGCAUAUGAGCCCAGAGGUCUGGAGACCAUCAAAUAAAAGUGAGAAAGAACUGA